GGUCGUAGACCCGAAACCAGGUGAUCUACCCAUGUCCAGGAUGAAGGUAAGGUAAUACUUACUGGAGGUCCGAACCCACGCACGUUGAAAAGUGCGGGGAUGAGGUGUGGGUAGCGGAGAAAUUCCAAUCGAACUUGGAGAUAGCUGGUUCUCUCCGAAAUAGCUUUAGGGCUAGCCUCGAGGUAAAGAGUCAUGGAGGUAGAGCACUGUUUGGACUAGGGGCCCUUCUCGGGUUACCGAAUUCAGAUAAACUCCGAAUGCCAUGUACUUAUACUCGGGAGUCAGACUGCGAGUGAUAAGAUCCGUAGUCGAAAGGGAAACAGCCCAGACCACCAGUUAAGGUCCCCAAAUAUAUGUUAAGUGGAAAAGGAUGUGGGGUUGCUUAGACAACCAGGAUGUUGGCUUAGAAGCAGCCACCAUUGAAAGAGUGCGUAAUAGCUCACUGGUCGAGUGACCCCGCGCCGAAAAUGUACCGGGGCUAAACAUAUUAC
rnacentral:rRNA from 1 species